rnacentral:tRNA from 1 species
UGCAAUGUAUUUUAUUAAAAAUAUUUACUUUACACGUAAAAGAACCACGUAUGUGGCUUUGUGA